rnacentral:rRNA from 1 species
AUGACUUCUUCCGGUUCCGUCACGAGGCCACCGUGUGCUAACCAUGAGGACAUGCCGGACAAGUGGACAGACACCAAGUUGGAUAAGGUGACGGACAAAGAUAUGAGAACUCCAUCAUGUUGGUGUGGAGAUGUUUGCAAAGUUAAGAUGUCCACCGACCGCAAGAAAUCAUGGACGGAAGGAAGAAGAUAUUUUGUUUGUCCCAACUAUGCCUACAAUCGUCCUCGUCCAGCUCACGCCUAUGAUGUACCGCCGGUAAGUUGUUCAAGUUCAAAAAUGUAG